CCUACGGGUGGCAGCAGUGGGGAAUAUUGCGCAAUGGGCGAAAGCCUGACGCAGCGACGCCGCGUGAGGGAUGAAGGUCUUCGGAUUGUAAACCUCUGUCAGCAGGGAAGAACGGUCACUGUGCUAAUCAGCAGUGAAUUGACGGUACCUGCAAAGGAAGCACCGGCUAACUCCGUGCCAGCAGCCGCGGCAAUACGGAGGGUGCGAGCGUUAAUCGGAAUUACUGGGCGUAAAGGGCUCGUAGGCGGUAUGUCAAGUCAAGGGUGAACUCCCCGCGCUCAACGUGGGAACUGCCUUUGAAACUGGCAAGCUGGAGUGUAUGAGAGGGUAGUGGAAUUCCAGGUGUAGGGGUGAAAGCCGUAGAUAUCUGGAGGAACAUCAGUGGCGAAGGCGACUAUCUGGCACAUAACUGACGCUGAGGAGCGAAAGCGUGGGUAGCAAACAGGAUUAGAUACCCCAGUAGUC
rnacentral:rRNA from 1 species